GGGGCUGAAUUUUAAGCUCGACGUAGAACAUUAACGAUAUUGUUUGCAGGUCGCUUGUCAGCGUUAUAGGCAAACCAGAAUAGAUGCAAAAACAUCAUUCAUGAACCGCGUUGCUGAUCUUCGCAACUUUGUUGCUCCUCAGUUCGCGCUUCAAACAGCCUAGUUUUAUAUCUAGGCAACGCCUUUGACGACGCUAGAUAGUUAGAGUAGCGUUUUAUAUUUCUAGCCGCUCACGUGGUACUAUCCAUUCCCCGUGCUAAGCCUAGGAUUGCUCACCCAUGCUGUUUGUCUGUUUCGAUACAUGGGUGCUAAGACCAUAAAAUAGACUAAACCUGUAGAGACAUAUCGACAAUUUCCGCGGACGCGGGGGCAGUACCCGCCAGCUCCACCA
rnacentral:tmRNA from 1 species